rnacentral:lncRNA from 1 species
AAUCCCAGCAUACAACGGGAGUGGAGGUGGUGACCUUGAGAGAGGGCCUGUGCUGUGCGCGCCUCGCGGGGCAUGCUGGGAGCAGUAGCAUCUUAGCUGCUUCCGGCCGCUGGUCGCAGGGCUGCGGGACUACAAUCUUCGCAUGAAAUGGAAGAGAGGGUGGUGCGGAUAGCUUGAGGAAGCUGUCAUCAGACUUACAGCCAACACCUUCCUUCUCUUCCACAUCUUCACAACCCUUCUGGAUCACAAGCCUAAGUCCACUGACCACAUCACCUGUCACCUGGACCUUGCACACUUAGUGAUGCUCCUCAUUGCGGUCUUCUUGGCAUCUCCAGACCUGUUUAAGUAACUACAUUUGCAGAAUAACUUAAAGUGCAAGGCAUUUUUCUACAUGUACAGGGUGAUGAGGAGCCUCUCCAGCUCCAUCACCUUUCUCCUGACUGUGCUCCAGGUCAUCACCAUCAGCCCCAGCACCUCCUGGUUGGUGAAGACUAAACAGAAAUUCACAGGUUACAUUUUCUACUCCUGUUUCUUCCUAUGGGUUCUCAGUUUGUCUCUCAGUAGUAACCUGCUUUCCCCCACUGUGGCUUCUUCUAAAGUGACCAAGACUGAUGUGCUAAGUAUCAGUAAAUACUGCUCACUUUCUUACAUAAGCUACAUCUUCUAAUAUGACAAAGACUGAUGUGCUAAGUUGUGCUUUAUUUCUUGUCAUUCUAUUAUUCCUAUACAUAUAAUUACAUUCAUAUUGCUAUUAUUUUCUCUUUUUUAUAUGGUUGUAUUCAUUCUGCUGAAAACUCCAGUUCACUAAUCCAGUUCACUAAUUCUGUCGUCAACUCAGUCUAAUUUUAUAUUUAACUCACAUAUUGUAUAUUAAAUUUAUUUACU